CCUACGGGGGGCUGCAGUGGGGAAUAUUGGACAAUGGGCGGAAGCCUGAUCCAGCAACGCCGCGUGAGGGAUGACGGCCUUCGGGUUGUAAACCUCUUUCAGCACAGACGAAGCGCAAGUGACGGUAUGUGCAGAAGAAGGACCGGCCAACUACGUGCCAGCAGCCGCGGUAAUACGUAGGGUCCGAGCGUUGUCCGGAAUUAUUGGGCGUAAAGGGCUCGUAGGCGGUUUGUCGCGUCGGGAGUUAAAACGCCGUGCUUAACACGGUGCUUGCUUUCGAUACGGGCAGACUUGAGGCAUGCAGGGGAGAAUGGAAUUCCUGGUGUAGCGGUGAAAUGCGCAGAUAUCAUGAGGAACACCGGUGGCGAAGGCGGUUCUCUGGGCAUGUCCUGACGCUGAGGA
rnacentral:rRNA from 1 species